GAGAUCUUCGGAUCUAGUGGCGGACGGGUUAGUAACGCGUGGGAACGUACCCUUCACUACGGAAUAGUCCCGGGAAACUGGGUUUAAUACCGUAUACGCCCUUCGGGGGAAAGAAUUUCGGUGAGGGAUCGGCCCGCGUUAGAUUAGUUAGUUGGUGGGGUAAUGGCCUACCAAGACUACGAUCUAUAGCUGGUUUGAGAGGAUGAUCAGCAACACUGGGACUGAGACACGGCCCAGACUCCUACGGGAGGCAGCAGUGGGGAAUCUUAGACAAUGGGGGCAACCCUGAUCUAGCGAUGCCGCGUGAGUGAUGAAGGCCUUAGGGUCGUAAAGCUCUUUCGCCUGUGAUGAUAAUGACAGUAGCAGGUAAAGAAACCCCGGCUAACUCCGUGCCAGCAGCCGCGGUAAUACGGAGGGGGUUAGCGUUGUUCGGAAUUACUGGGCGUAAAGCGCACGUAGGCGGAUUAGUCAGUCAGAGGUGAAAUCCCAGGGCUCAACCCUGGAACUGCCUUUGAUACUGCUAGUCUUGAGUUCGAGAGAGGUAAGUGGAAUUCCGAGUGUAGAGGUGAAAUUCGUAGAUAUUCGGAGGAACACCAGUGGCGAAGGCGGCUUACUGGCUCGAUACUGACGCUGAGGUGCGAAAGUGUGGGGAGCAUACAGGAUUAGAUACCCUGGUAGUCCACACCGUAUACGAUGAAUGCCAGUCGUCGGGUAGCAUGCUAUUCGGGGACACACCUAACGGAUUAAGCAUUCCGCCUGAGGAGUAUGACCGCCAGGAUUAUUACUCAUAGGGAGUUGACGGGGGGCCGUCCCAAGCGGUGGAACCAUGUGGUUUUAUU
rnacentral:rRNA from 1 species